AAUUUAAGCAGCACACCCAAGGUUUGUAUAAUAACUUGCACAGUUUGCCCGUUAUUCUGGGAAGUAGUACAGUAAUCAUCCCCUUCAUUGAGCGUUAGGGCUUUUCGAAAUGGCAAACGAGGCCCAAGAUGUUCGCAGGCCACCGUUAAUGGCGAUAAUGUACAAUCUCUCUGCGACGUCGUCCAAGAGUUGCCUAGACGCGCCGUCAUAGACUUAUGGUCCACCGGGGUAUGCACCAGAUGCAUCUUACGGUUCUUUGGGAUCAGAGAGAAUGUUUACUAUCGUUCUCACUAUCGCGGUCAAUCUUGAGUUCACUUCUUGGAGAUUCUGAGAAACAUUUGGUGGAUAGUAAAGCAAGAGAACCGGUAGCUUGUAGCGUUUGCUUGGGGAUCUUGCAGUCAGUUAUUCUGUUGAUAAGAAGUUGGUGGCAGAAAGGGAGAGUGCCGACGAGUUGGCUGUUUCCAUUUCCAAUCUGAUUAGGCAACAGGGCUUUCAGAUUGACAGCUUUUCUCUUGAAGUGUCCGUACCUCCAAUUAUCCAGGAAAAUGAUCGCAUUGCUUGGCUGUAUAUGAAAAGAAAGUUUGAAUCUGAACUUUGGUUCCAAGGAAAACCACUUCCUGAAUGCAUUUCUGCAAAGGAUGCUCUAAAAAUUUCUCUUGCGGUGACCCUUGAAACAUUGUUACUAUGCGCUGGCAAUGGUUUGGACAGAAUUGAUGGUGACAUCAAAUGCUCUGGCUUUUCAACAAGUGAAGUUGAUGCGGUUGUUGAAAGGUCUUUCUUGAGUUUGCAAGCUAAUGAGUUGCCUGAGUGCCUGAAGUUACCUUUAGAGCAGUCCAGUGAACCUUGCUGUUUAGAGUUUCUCCGCUACCGGACUCAAAUCUACAUUGGUGGGAGAUACCUGAAGUACUCGAGAAAUGUGAGUCAAACCUGUUGGAUUAUUGAUGAUGAGAGAAUGGGAGAAGCAUCUGUCGAGGAGAUACUAGAUAGCAACAUUCUUCCUAUGUGUUGUGGUGAUAACUACAAGUUUCAUGCUGCCGGAAGAGAAGAUAUCGAUGUACGGAUUUCUGGAAGGCCUUUCCAGCUUGAGAUACAAAACGCACGCCUUGUCCCAUCUGAUGAGUCUGUAAAAAGUUUGGAAACGGAGAUAAAUAAAUUGGUUUGAAAAAUCUGAAACUGGUUGACAGUCGGUCAUGGGAUCUGAUGCGUGAAGGGGAAGCAGAGAAACAGAAGCAGUACGUCGCGCGAGUGGAUUUCUUGCCCUCUCAAGGAUGAAGAUUUGCAUUCUAUAUCUUCACUAAGACAUGGUGAGCGGUUUUCUAAGACUUUUAAUAGUUUUCUACUUGGUUAUUGUCAACUAUAAAGGGUGACAUUAUGUUGACAGAGUAGGGCUCUGUUCAUUGAGUGAGGAUCCUUGCCUGAUCCCCUUUGUGAGGAUCCCGAGAAAAACAUGUGGUGCAACGAGAAUGACUCGAAAAUAGGCUUAUGAUGAAUUUUACAAAAUUUCGCAAAACCAAUUGAAAUUUUUAGUUUUGGAAAAUCUUUUGCGUGGAAACUGAGGAACAUGUUACAAGAUCUUUGGAUGUAGUCGUGGAAUUUAUUGGGUCCAAAAGUAUUUUUUAUGAAUUUUUAAUGUUGAAAGUAGAAAAAUUAAAGCGUGGGAAAAUAUUACAAGAUCUUUGAAUGCAA